GUGAUGGAAUCAAAACCAAACAUCGUUGCUAAAUACUCAUUUUCCCGGAGGCGAUGAAGAGAUCUGGUGGUUCUAGUGAGAUGAAUCUUUCAUGAAUCUACCAGUUUUAUAUAGAAAGGAGAAGGAGAGGAAUACGAAGUGGAAGAAGACAGAGGAAAAAUUGGAAUCGACAUGGCUUUGAAAAUGUGUUAGAAAAGAAUGAUUUUGUUAUGAAUAUUGUGUGAUGUAUAUUAUGGAAUGUUCUAGAUUUACUUGAUUCUCAAGUUUACUUGUUCACCAAGCUAUUGUAAUCCUAUAUAAAGAUCCUUACUCAUUGAAUAAGAUA